rnacentral:rRNA from 1 species
UUGCGAUUCGCUAAACGGCCAGUGGUGGAUGACUUGGUUGGCUAGCCGAUGAAGGGCGUGACAAGCAGCGAAAUGCCUGGGGUAGACGCAUGAAGUCUGUGAUCCCAGGGUUCCCGAAUAGGACUUCCAAGUAUGGGCUAAUACCCCAUAUUGUUCGAGGGUCAAAUCUCGAAUGGGAACGCUCGGAACUGAAACAUCUUAGUACGAGCAGGAAGAGAAAACAAAUGUGAUUCCCUGAGUAACAGCGAGCGAAAGGGGAAGAGGCCAAACUGAAUCCCUGUGCGAUGAGUACAGGGAGAUGUGGUGUAAGGGCCUAGACAAGUGCCUCUGCAAAUGAAGCCGAAGUCGUCUGGAACGAUGUGGCAAAGAGGGUGACACCCCCGUAGGCGUACAUUGCAGGCAUGUCUAAGGAUCCAGAGUAGCGCGGGUUGGUUUUCUCGCGUGAAUGUCGCAGGUACAAUCUGCGAAGCCUAAAUACUCAGCCAAACCGAUAGUAAACUAUGUAGCGCGAGCGAAAGUUGAAAAGUGCCGCGGAAGCGGGGUGAAAAGCACCUGAAACCAUUGGUCUACUCAAAGGAAGCUGGUUACAAGAUUAGAUGCUCGAAGAACGAAGCGUGAGUGAUUGCGUUGUAGGAUUUGAGCGGAUCGAGCCGGCUUCAUCCGUCUAGAAACACGGGCCAGGGAGUUCAUGGGCGUGGCGAGGAUAAGGCAAAAAGCCGUAAACAAAGCGAAAGCGACAAGCCCGCAACCUUCGGGUGAGGGGCGACGUGUGAAAGUGCGUGAAGUCACUCCCGUGACACGAGAAACCAGUCGAUCUUGGCGUGGGCAGGGUGAAGCCGGGCGAAAGCUCGGUGGAGGCCCGAUAGGGUUCUGACGUGCAACUCGUUCCGUUGACCUGCGCGAAGGGGUAAAAGGCUUAUCUAGACUGGUGAUUGCUCGUUCUCCGCGAAGUUGGUCGUAGCCAAGCCCUGCCUGAGGUAUCAUGUGGUGUAGAGCACUUUCGGAUGUGCCCGGGAGACGUCAAGUCUCUCACCAUCCUGAAAACUCCGAAUCUGCAUGAACCGUAGACGGCAGGAGACGGGUGCCCGGGGUAAGCCCGGCAGGCCGAGAUGGGGAGAACCGAGAGUAUGGUUAAGGUCCCUAAGUGCCAGAUAAGUGCGGUGAAGAAGGGUGUCGAGAGCCCAAGACAGUCUGGGGGUGAGCUUAGAGGCAGCUAUCCCCGAACGAAAGCGUAACAGCUCACAGACCGAGGCUCUCGGCCUUGAAAAUGGACGGGGCUCAAUCCGGCCACCGAGACCAUACAGUACAUGGGUAGUACCAUGUAAUCUGGUAGCGGAGCGAUCUGGUAGGGCAGAAGUAGGG